rnacentral:rRNA from 1 species
UACAGAGGGUGCAAGCGUUGUUCGGAAUUAUUGGGCGUAAAGCGCGUGUAGGCGGCUUUGCAAGUCGGGUGUGAAAGCCCUCAGCUCAACUGAGGAAGUGCGCCCGAAACUGCUGGGCUUGAGUUCUGGAGAGGAAGGCGGAAUUCUCGGUGUAGAGGUGAAAUUCGUAGAUAUCGAGAGGAACACCGGGUGGCGAAGGCGGCCUUCUGGACAGUGACUGACGCUGAGACGCGAAAGCGUGGGGAGCAAACAGG